UUCUUUAUAAAAAAAUAUAAAGUAUAACCUGCUCAAUGAUUUUUUAAAUAGCCGCGGUGUUAAUCGUGCUAAGGUAGCAUAAUAAUUUGUCUUUUAAUUAAGGUCUUGUAUAAAUGGUUGAACGAGAGAUAAGCUUUUUUAAUUAAAUUUUUUUUAAUUUUAUAUCUUAGUUAAAAAGCUAAGAUGUUUUUAUGUGACGAUAAGACCCUAUAAAAUUUUAUUUAUACUUUAUUUUUUAAUUAUUAGUUUUUAUUUUUAUUGAUUAAUACUAAAAUUUGAUUGGGGCGAUUGUUUUAUUUUAAUAACUAUAACUUUUAUAAAUCAAAGAUUGAUGACUAAUUUGAUCCUGACUUUUUGGAUUAUAAGAAUAAAUUACUUUAGGGAUAACAGCGUAAUUUUCUUGGCGAGUUCAUAUUUAUAAGAAAGAUUGCGA
rnacentral:rRNA from 1 species